AUCUGCUGCAAAAAUGAUACAACUGCAUGAAGCCAACAAAUUUGAAUUGCCUCAAAAUAAACCCCAACGACAACAAAAAGAGUACCUCAAUCUUUUCUGCUUCCCCAGUAAGAACAGACCUGUAGUAUAUACAUAGUUAUUUUACAUAUAAGUGAAAAGUGGUAUCUCAGCUUUAAGGUAGCAUUACUAAAGGCCCCUUCUUCCUGUUCUUCUCUAUCACCUCCAACAAGACUUUGAUCAACUUCUACAGUAAUGAUGAGUGGACCUUGUGGGGUUCCAAAAAGUGUAGUAAAUAUCUGUAGUAUACACAUAGUUAUUUUAUAUAUAAGUGAAAAGUGGUAUCUCAGUUUAAGGUAGCAUUACAAAAGGUCCCUUCUUCCUGUUCUUCACCAUCACCUUCAACAGGACUUUGAUCUACUUCCACAGCAAUGUUGAGUGGACCUUGUGGGGUUCCAAAAAGAGUAGUAAAUAUCUGUCUAUGACAUUCAUCACA
rnacentral:lncRNA from 1 species